AAAUGCUUUAAGCUAAAUACCUAUUCUAUUGGGUAAAAUCCCCACACACCUGCUCAUUUUGUUUAAUUAGUUGUAUCAUUCAGUAGACCUUCAUCAAGUAAGCUACAUUAGUCUAAGGUUUAAAAUACACAACCAUUAAUUACAUUUACCUUUUUGAGCAAAGAACUUAAGUCAACUAUUAACAAUAACAAUGCACAAUCAAUUACAUGUUAAUGUCAUUUUUAUGUUGUUAUAUGUAAGUGUCAGUUUGAAGGAAUAGAGACAUAAUUUCAAACUGGAGGCCAUUUGAUCUGGGAAUUAAAUUGAACUCACAUUGUUCAAUGUUCAACUUGACAACCAGAUUAAAGGGUUUUGUCUAUAAAACCUUUCUGGUUAAUAUUUUUCUAUUGUACAGUAGUUGGUCAUUGGUCUCAAACAUCAUUAUCUCUCCCUUUCAGUGUUACACUACUAAACCUUUAUGCUUUCGAUCAGGAGACAAAGUCAAGUGAAGUCAAUUUAUUUUAAUAUAAACACAAUCCCACAAAUUUGGGCUUUACAACCUAUACAGCAUACAAGACUCUCUAUCCUUGGACCUGUGAUUCAGAAGAGGAAAAACUGCCCCAAAAACCUUUUCAGUGGG